rnacentral:rRNA from 1 species
UAACCUAGAGCGGCGGACUGGUGAGUAACGCGUGGGUGAGACCCUUUUGACGGGGAUAGCCUGUGGAAACACUGGGUAAUACCGGAUAAGCUGGCUUGUGUCAGAGGCAAGUCAGGAAAGGUUCUUUUGAACCGCGAAAGGAGCGGCCCGCGUGCUAUUAGUUAGUUGGCGGGUAACGGCCCACCAAGACGACGAUAGCUACCCGGCCUAAGAGGGUGAACGGGCACAUUGGGACUGAGAUACGGCCCAGACUCCUACGGGAGGCAGCAGCUAAGAAUAUUCCGCAAUGGACGAAAGUCUGACGGAACGACGCCGCGUGGAUUGAUGAAGGCCGGAAGGUUGUAAAAUCCUUUUGGGAGCGAGGAAUAAGGAAUCUGAGAGAAACGGAUUCUGGUGACGGUAGCUUCUGAAUAAGCAACGGCUAAUUACGUGCCAGCCGCCGC